rnacentral:rRNA from 1 species
UACGUAGGGCGCAAGCGUUGUCCGGAAUUAUUGGGCGUAAAGAGCUCGUAGGCGGCCUGUUACGUCUGCUGUGAAAUCCCGGGGCUUAACCCCGGGCGUGCAGUGGAUACGGGCAGGCUGGAGGCAGGCAGGGGAGAACGGAAUUCCCGGUGUAGCGGUGAAAUGCGCAGAUAUCGGGAGGAACACCCGUAGCGAAGGCGGCACUCUGGGCCGGAACUGACGCUGAGGAGCGAAAGCGUGGGGAGCAAACAGG